AUUGAACGCUGGCGGCAGGCCUAACACAUGCAAGUCGAGCGAGCGGCGGACGGGUGAGUAAUGUAUGGGGACUGCCCGAUAGAGGGGGAUAACUACUGGAAACGGUAGCUAAUACCGCAUACUAUCGGAUAACCCAUAUGGGAUUAGCUGGUAGGUGAGGUAAUGGCUCACAUAGGCGACGAUCCCUAGCCGGUCUGAGAGGAUGAUCAGCCACACGGGGACUGAGACACGGCCCAGACUCCUACGGAGGCAGCAGUGGGGAAUAUUGCACAAUGGGCGAAAGUCUGAUGCAGCCACGCCGCGUGUAUGAAGAAGGCCCUAGGGUUGUAAAGGACUGUCAGUAGGGAGGCGUUACCGAAAGAAGAAGCACCGGCUAACUCCGUGCCAGCAGCCGCGGUAAUUC
rnacentral:rRNA from 1 species